rnacentral:tRNA from 1 species
GGGGUUGUGGCUCAGCGGUAAAGCACUUGCCUAGCAUGUGAGAAGCCCUGGGUUCAAGCCACAGCACCACA